rnacentral:rRNA from 1 species
GGCGGACGGGUGAGUAACGCGUGGGAACGUGCCCUUCUCUGCGGAACAGCCACUGGAAACGGUGAGUAAUACCGCAUACGCCCUUCGGGGGAAAGAUUUAUCGGAGAAGGAUCGGCCCGCGUCUGAUUAGGUAGUUGGUGGGGUAAUGGCCUACCAAGCCUACGAUCAGUAGCUGGUUUUAGAGGAUGAUCAGCCACACUGGGACUGAGACACGGCCCAGACUCCUACGGGAGGCAGCAGUGGGGAAUCUUAGACAAUGGGCGCAAGCCUGAUCUAGCCAUGCCGCGUGAGUGAUGAAGGCCCUAGGGUCAUAAAGCUCUUUCGCCAGGGAUGAUAAUGACAGUACCUGGUAAAGAAACCCCGGCUAACUCCGUGCCAGCAGCCGCGGUAAUACGGAGGGGGUUAGCGUUGUUCGGAAUUACUGGGCGUAAAGCGCGC